rnacentral:rRNA from 1 species
AGCGAACGCUGGCGGCGGGCUUAACACAUGCAAGUCGAGCGGGCAUCCUCGUGGUGUCAGCGGCAGACGGGUGAGUAACGCGUGGGAACGUGCCCUUCGGUUCGGAAUAACUCAGGGAAACUUGAGCUAAUACCGGAUACGCCCUUUUGGGGAAAGGUUUAUCUGCCGAAGGAUCGGCCCGCGUCUGAUUAGCUUGUUGGUGAGGUUACGGCUCACCAAGGCGACGAUCAGUAGCUGGUCUGAGAGGAUGAUCAGCCACACUGGGACUGAGACACGGCCCAGACUCCUACGGGAGGCAGCAGUGGGGAAUAUUGGACAAUGGGGGCAACCCUGAUCCAGCCAUGCCGCGUGAGUGAUGACGGCCUUAGGGUUGUAAAGCUCUUUUCUCCGGGACGAUAAUGACGGUACCGGAGGAAUAAGCCCCGGCUAACUUCGUGCCAGCAGCCGCGGUAAAAC